rnacentral:piRNA from 1 species
UGAAAUUAAGGUGCACUCAGGUGAUAGAUGU